AUUGAACGCUGGCGGCAUGCCUUACACAUGCAAGUCGAACGGUAACAGGUCUUCGGAUGCUGACGAGUGGCGAACGGGUGAGUAAUACAUCGGAACGUGCCCGAUCGUGGGGGAUAACUACUCGAAAGAGUAGCUAAUACCGCAUACGAUCUACGGAUGAAAGCGGGGGAUCUUCGGACCUCGUGCUGACGGAGGGGGCGAUGGCAGAUUAGGUAGUUGGUGGGAUAAAAGCUGACCAAGCCGACGAUCUGUAGCUGGUCUGAGAGGACGACCAGCCACACUGGGACUGAGACACGGCCCAGACUCCUACGGGAGGCAGCAGUGGGGAAUUUUGGACAAUGGGCGAAAGCCUGAUCCAGCAAUGCCGCGUGCAGGAUGAAGGCCUUCGGGUUGUAAACUGCUUUUGUACGGAACGAAAAGACUCCUUCUAAUACAGGGGGUCCAUGACGGUACCGUAAGAAUAAGCACCGGCUAACUCUGUGCCAGCCGCCGCGGUAAUAC
rnacentral:rRNA from 1 species